CAGGACGUGGGAAAACCUGGCUAAUCCGCCGGCGUCGGAAGCCGGAGAGUGCUGGUUCGAAUCCAGCCGUCCUGACCU
rnacentral:tRNA from 1 species